rnacentral:tRNA from 1 species
GGGCGAAUGGUUUAGUGGUAUAAUACUCCCUUAGCAUCGUUCGUCCAAACAGCUUGGGAGUGGUCCAGGGUUCGAUUCCCUGUUCGUCCA